rfam:Heterocephalus glaber contig99071, whole genome shotgun sequence.
AUUACAGCCAAAUCUAUUUAAAAAAUUUAGAACAUUAAUUUUUCUCCUUUUUGAUAAUAUUCAAUGAGAACACUUAGAAUAAAACUUUUUCCAUGAAGGGAAAGUAAUAUCCAC